UAACAGUGAAGCGGCAACAGCUCAAAUUUGAAAUCUGGCCCCUAUUCCGAGUUGUAAUUUGUAGAGAGCGUUUCGGGUGAGUCUGCGGUCCAAGUCUAUUGGAACAUAGCGUCAUAGAGGGUGAGAAUCCCGUACGCGACCGCGGCACGAGCCCAAUUGAGACCUCUUCGACGAGUCGAGUUGUUUGGGAAUGCAGCUCAAAAUGGGUGGUAAAUUUCAUCUAAAGCUAAAUACCGGCUGGAGACCGAUAGCGCACAAGUAGAGUGAUCGAAAGAUGAAAAGCACUUUGGAAAGAGAGUCAAACAGUACGUGAAAUUGUUGAAAGGGAAGCGCUUGCGACCAGACCUGUCCGUAGGUGAUCAACCGCUGUUCUCAGCGGCGUACUCACUCUGCGAUCAGGCCAGCAUCGGUUUGGGCGGUCGGAUAAAGGCCCCGGGAAUGUAGCUCCCCCCCGGGGGAGUCUUAUAGCCCGGGGCGGCAUGCGGCCAGCCGAGACCGAGGACCGCGCUUCGGCUAGGAUGCUGGCGUAAUGGUUGCAAGCGACCCGUUUUGAAACACGGACCAAGGAGGCUAACAUCUAUGCGAGUGUUUGGGUGUCAAACCCAUGCGCGGAAUGAAAGU
rnacentral:rRNA from 1 species